rnacentral:tRNA from 2 species
CGGGAUAGCUCAGCUGGUAGA